ensembl:lncRNA
GUGUCCGACUCUGUGCCACCCCAGAGACGGCGGCCACCAGGCUCCCCCGUCCCUGGGAUUCUCCAGGGAAGUGGAGUGGGGGAAACAAAUACAAUCCGGUGAACGAGGAUGGAUCAGCCUGAUUCCUGAAAAAGUGGUGGUUGACCAGCCUGCUCGGUGUCACCUGGAAACUCGUAAGAAAUGCAAACCCUCAGGUCCCACUCUUGAACUACUGAAUUAGAAAUCUGCAUUUGAAUAGCAUCCCCAGGGGAUUUAUAUUCACAUCGACGUUUGAGAAGCACUGAUAACAACAGGAUGGCAUUGGCAGAGGAUGGACCAUGGAUGAGCCUGAUUGCAGAGUACCAGGUGCCCGAAGCCAGCACGUGGCACGAGGGUUCCAGAAGCUCCACACACACGUCAGAGCAGGACUGUUCGUUCAGCCAGGAGAGUGGCAAGACUCCUGGGCUCAGACUGAGGAGGCUUUAGAAUAUAGGCAUGAUGCCAAAGGUCGUGGAUUUCUUAUUAUGACAAUCUCCUCAGACCAGGUCGACACCAUAUCUCAGCAACUACUGGUUCAUUAUGUUCAGAGACUUGACAAGGCAGGUGGCAUCUCAGCAAAGCCAGGAAGGAGACUGGUAUCUUCAGACGCACGGUGGUGAGGAU